rnacentral:rRNA from 1 species
AUUGAACGCUGGCGGCAUGCCUUACACAUGCAAGUCGAACGGUAACAGGCCGCAAGGUGCUGACGAGUGGCGAACGGGUGAGUAAUGCAUCGGAACGUGCCCAGUCGUGGGGGAUAACGCAGCGAAAGCUGCGCUCAUACCGCAUACGAUCUAUGGAUGAAAGCGGGGGACCGUAAGGCCUCGCGCGAUUGGAGCGGCCGAUGUCAGAUUAGGUAGUUGGUGGGGUAAAGGCUCACCAAGCCAACGAUCUGUAGCUGGUCUGAGAGGACGACCAGCCAGACUGGGACUGGGACACGGCCCAGACUCCUACGGGAGGCAGCAGUGGGGAAUUUUGGACAAUGGGCGCAAGCCUGAUCCAGCAAUGCCGCGUGCAGGAAGAAGGCCUUCGGGUUGUAAACUGCUUUUGUACGGAACGAAACGGUCCUGGUUAAUACCUGGGGCUAAUGACGGUACCGUAAGAAUAAGCACCGGCUAACUACGUGCCAGCCGCCGCAGUAACAC